GAGGAAAUGAAAAAAGUUUCGUAUGAAAUUGAUCAAAUUGAAAAUCAAACGUAAAUUUGGAUCUUUCGAGCGAUUUUCUUAUCAACUUUUACGAAGAAGAUCUGAGAUCACGCACGAGGAACGUGUCAAACUGUACCAACGAUCGUUCGACAACGUUCAUGCUAUCGAAGAAAGGAAAACACUGAGAUAGAAAGAGAGAAAAACAGAGAGAGAGAGAAAAUAAAAUCAAAAGAAUAGAGAGAGAGAAAGAGAGAGAGAGAGGAAGAAAGAAAAGAAAAGAUGUAUAUAAUUUGGGACCCUGCCGGCAGCUGCGUGGGUCCCGAUAUGCAAAAAAGGGGUUGCUACCAGGAAUUAGAAUAUCCUCGCGGUCUCAUUUGAAUUUCAAUUUUGCUUUCUCUCUCUCUCUCUCUUUCUCUCUUUCUCUCUCUUUUUCUCUCUACACGGACACUUUUCGAUAGUGUCUAACCCCCAAGGGAUCUCGAGUAGGUAUCUGCCUACCUAGGAUUCUCAGGAGACGCGAUCCCAACCAUCCAUCCACCAAACCACCCACUUAACAACGCCCUCCUCGGUAUAGUUUUCGAAGAAAUAAGAAGAUCGAAUAUGUACGCCAUCGUUGUUUCUUCAAGAGAAGAAGACGAUGGAGCUCGUUGAAGUUCCGUCGUGUGUAACGAAGAAACAUGGCUCUCCUGUGCGAUAGUAGUAGAAGCAGCUUUGCAGUUCGCCAUUCUCGUAUCGUCGUGGCAUGCACGCGCGUAAAGAGACACGCGGAAAGGGAGUGCCAGGAAGAGAUGGUAACGGGAAGAGAAAGAGAGGAGGAGCAAGAAGAAGAAGAGAAGGAGGUGGAGGAGGAGGAGGAGGAAAAGGAGAAGGAUGACGAGGAGAGGUUGAGAAGGGAGUGUGUUAGAGGAUAAGACGAGAAGCCAUAGCCCGAGGCCUUUCCUUCUGUACAGGAGAGGACGUCCUAUACGUUCAUCUCUUUCUACUCGAGUGUACAGUAGGUAUUAAAGACCGAGAGAGAUAAAGAUAUAUAAAGAGAUAGAUAGAGAGAGAGAAAGAGAGAGAAAGAGAGAUUAACAUCACUCCUCCCACUAGUUUCCUUUUCCAUUCGUGGGCCCUACAAGAAACCACCUAGUCACCCUUAUUUUCAACGAUAAAGCCAACGAUUUCGAUUGGUCGGCCCCCGGCUGUGAUUUCGGGAUCGCUCAUACGCGUAUAUUUUUCCGGAUUUAGAAUAUAGAACGAGAAAGAGAUAGAUAGAUAGAUAGAAAGAGAAAGAGAGAUAGAAUGUGUGUGUGUGUGUGUGUGUGUGUAGGGUGUAACUCGAAUCGAGAGAAAAGGAGACAUUUAUCGUCCUUUCGCGUAAGCUCGAUUUCCUCGGUGACACUGAGAAAAAUCUGAAAAUGUCUCUCCUUUCUCCCUUUUAGAUUUCUUUCCUUCUUUCUUCUACUUCUUCUUCGUUUACAUCCCCUUCUCUCUCUUUCUCUCUCUCUCUCUCUCUCUCUUUCUCUCUUUCUCUUUCUCUGUCUCCCUAUUGCACACCUGUACGUCUUGUCUUCGUCGCGCAUUCGGACAUUUAUACGCGUUGCCUAUAACUUUUCAAUAUGUAUUAAAGCAUUUUUCUAUGACUCACACAAGAAUCACAUUGC